rnacentral:rRNA from 1 species
AGAGGGCGCGAGCGUUGUCCGGAAUCACUGGGCGUAAAGGGCGCGUAGGUGGCCACCAUAAGGCCGCGGUGAAAGUUCGGGGCUCAACCCCGGAUCGGCCGCGGCGACUGUGGGGCUCGGGUACUGUAGAGGCAGAUGGAAUUCCGGGUGUAGCGGUGGAAUGCGUAGAGAUCCGGAAGAACACCAGUGGCGAAGGCGGUCUGCUGGGCAGUGGGCUCGAAAGGGCCCUUCAACCGACACUGAGGCGCGACAGCGUGGGGAGCAAACAGGAUUAGAUACCCUGGUAGUCCACGCCGUAAACGAUGGGCACUAGGUGCUCCGGGGAGCGACCCUUGGGGUACCGGCGCUAACGCAUGAAGUGCCCCGCCUGGGGAGUACGGCCGCAAGGCUG